GAUGAACGCUGGCGGUGUGCCUAAUACAUGCAAGUCGUACGCAUUCCCGUUUUUGAUUGAAGGUGCUUGCACCUGAUUGAUAAAACAUCGGAAUGAGUGGCGGACGGGUGAGUAACACGUGGGUAACCUGCCCAGAAGUGGGGGAUAACAUUUGGAAACAGAUGCUAAUACCGCAUAAUAGAUAGAACCACAUGGUUCUAUUUUGAAAGAUGGCUUUUGCGCUAUCACUUUUGGAUGGACCCGCGGUGUAUUAGCUAGUUGGUAAAGUAACGGCUUACCAAGGCAAUGAUACAUAGCCGAACUGAGAGGUUGAUCGGCCACAAUGGGACUGAGACACGGCCCAUACUCCUACGGGAGGCAGCAGUAGGGAAUCUUCCACAAUGGGCGCAAGCCUGAUGGAGCAACACCGCGUGAGUGAAGAAGGGUUUCGGCUCGUAAAACUCUGUUGUUAAAGAAGAACGUAUCUAAGAGUAACUGCUUAGGUAGUGACGGUAUUUAACCAGAAAGCCACGGCUAACUACGUGCCAGCAGCCGCCGUAA
rnacentral:rRNA from 1 species